CCGAAAUCAGUCGUUUCGACGUCUUUGACUUUUACUUUCGUUCAAUAUCGGGUUGAUCCAAUUAAACAGGUGAAGUGUUUUUGAAUAGAAAAAAUAGUUGCCUUUGAGACGGAAACGAUUUAUAGAGCAUUGUAUGAAGCAGAAUUUUUACCCUUUGGAAAGAAUGAUUACAUGUAGAAUGAAUCUUCGAGUAACAGAUCGGUGACACAGACAUGGUCCUUUCAGCCAAUCAUUCACAAAAGAACAAGAAA